UUAGGGUGGCUAAUUAGCCAGUCACAUGUUAGCUUUAUGGCUACUGUUUGUGUGAAUGGUCAGUAAGCACACCUAUAGCAAUGUCGUUGGUGAUUCGUUUCAACACUAGAACAGGAUUUAACCCAGUUUUUGGUUAUGGAUCAUCAACUAUAUCU
rnacentral:snoRNA from 1 species